CCGCGGUGAUACGGAGGGUGCAAGCGUUAAUCGGAAUUACUGGGCGUAAAGCGCACGCAGGCGGUUUGUUAAGUCAGAUGUGAAAUCCCCGCGCUUAACGUGGGAACUGCAUUUGAAACUGGCAAGCUAGAGUCUUGUAGAGGGGGGUAGAAUUCCAGGUGUAGCGGUGAAAUGCGUAGAGAUCUGGAGGAAUACCGGUGGCGAAGGCGGCCCCCUGGACAAAGACUGACGCUCAGGUGCGAAAGCGUAGGGAGCAAACAGGAUUAGAUACCCUGGUAGUCCACGCUGUAAACGAUGUCGACUUGGAGGUUGUGCCCUUGAGGCGUGGCUUCCGGAGCUAACGCGUUAAGUCGACCGCCUGGGGAGUACGGCCGCAAGGUUAAAACUCAAAUGAAUUGACGGGGGCCCGCACAAGCGGUGGAGCAUGUGGUUUAAUUCGAUGCAACGCGAAGAACCUUACCUACUCUUGACAUCCAGAGAAUUCGCUAGAGAUAGCUUAGUGCCUUCGGGAACUCUGAGACAGGUGCUGCAUGGCUGUCGUCAGCUCGUGUUGUGAAAUGUUGGGUUAAGUCCCGCAACGAGCGCAACCCUUAUCCUUUGUUGCCAGCACGUAAUGGUGGGAACUCAAAGGAGACUGCCGGUGAUAAACCGGAGGAAGGUGGGGAUGACGUCAAGUCAUCAUGGCCCUUACGAGUAGGGCUACACACGUGCUACAAUGGCGUAUACAAAGAGAAGCGAACUCGCGAGAGCAAGCGGACCUCAUAAAGUACGUCGUAGUCCGGAUCGGAGUCUGCAACUCGACUCCGUGAAGUCGGAAUCGCUAGUAAUCGUAGAUCAGAAUGCUACGGUGAAUACGUUCCCGGGCCUUGUACACACCGCCCGUCACACCAUGGGAGUGGGUUGCAAAAGAAGUAGGUAGCUUAACCUUCGGGAGGGCGCUUACCACUUUGU
rnacentral:rRNA from 1 species